GAUUUUAAAAAAAAUCUUUUACGUGUAUUGAAAACGGUGGUUGCUAACAAGUUCCUAAAUGGGAUUACAGACAUUGUCGGGGACAUUAAACAUCACGCCGAAUAGGAAAAAACUUUGCAGAUAAACUGGUUCAGUUUUUUGACUUAGGCUGGAAAGAUUGUUUGCCACGACAUAAUUGGUGAUCUCCGACGUGAUUGAUUAAGGAACAAAGAGGGAGACUGAAACUGUGAAGACUGGCCCGGGGGAAAACUGCACAAGCGUGGCCACUCAUUUUAAGCUGUCUAUUCACAGGAACAGAGCUGGGGACCGAGAGAGGAGACACAAGUUCCUUGUCCAGUGACUCCUGGAGAACAGGUGUACCUAGGGGUGUUCGACCCCAGAAGGGAAGGGCCAUACAAAGUGAGCACCUAGAUUAAGACCUAGGAGAAUUGGAGGAUCAGGUGAUUGAAAGCGAUGAUCCAGUGGUUGACAUAUCAGAAGAAAGAACAAGCCAAGACGUGAGAGAGGGUAUAAAUGAAGGUAAGGGGGAACCAAUGGCACUCUCAGGCGAUGGCGAAGAAGGUCAGUCAGGGGUUUUACCAACAGAACAGGAGGAAAGAAGGGAUCCUGUUGCUGAGAGGGGUUCUGACAAGCCUGAUGCACCUGCUGAAGCAGAAAAAGGCCCAAGCAGACAUCCAUUCUAGGACAACCUUUCCACAAUUGACUCUUCAGAGCUUGACUGGUCUCCAAAACAGUACUGAACUAGAGCUGAAUGAGACAAUCAGUGAGCCAUAGUGGAUCUCUGAUCAGUUGCAAGAGAAUGGAACAGAUUCCAGUUCCUCAAGUAAGGAUGAAGAAGAGGCUUGAUGAACCAUGCCCACACCCAGUAAGUGCUAGCCUAAACCUCUCCCCAAGGGUGACCCACUGCGAUACGCAAAGUAUCUGGGUCAGAGAUAAACAUUUCUAAGACAUCCCCUGAGAAAGGAUGUGAUGGAUUUUUUAUUUUUGCUUUUUCCAUUUUUAUAUUUUUUGUAUCUUUUCAAUUUUCUAUGAAAAUAUAAUCAAGUGUGAUUAGAGACAGGGUGAUCACUGUCUGACUUAUCAUGGUAAUCGUACUGAGAAAAUUUUUUGUAUUCAUGUUUAUUAGUCUAUACUUGUAUCAGCUAUAUGGGCUUAAUCAACUCUGUAUUCUACAUAACCGUGACAACCACAGGCAAGUGCUAAACCAAAUGCAUGCUCACGCUCACAAACACUGUCUUGAAUUUUGUGGUUAGGGAAAGGGAGACAGAAUCAUUUACUCCUUUCUAGACAAUGGGAGAGGAGAUGUUUGUUUCUGGUCUCCAGAGAGAGUGGUUUCAGGAUUUGGUCGUUGGUAGAUGGCUGAUGUGAUCAUACUUUGAUCACUAGCAAGUGUUAAAGAAGUGACUGGAUUGUGAGAUUACUCUCUCAAGCUAUGUGGGACUUAAGAAGUUCCAGAGGGGGAAAAUAUAUAGAAAAUAUUUAUGAAGUGUAAUUAAUAUGUGUAACUAACAUUUGUAUAUGUUAAAGAAGUGUAUUCAAUAUGUAUAACCAAGAUUUUGAAUUAUUAAGCAUAAUCAAAUAAUCAAUAUUAGUUAACAAGCAUAAUCUAUAUGUAUAAUCAAUAUUUAAAAACAUAAUCUAAAUCCACAGAACAAUGGUUGAUCAAGUUAUAUUCUAAGUGUGUAAUGAGUUAGAUCAAUUCUGUGUCUUACUGUACAAUAAUUGUUUUUUCUGUACCAGCCUGUAUCUUCCUCCACAGAAGCAAAUAACUUUGAGGCCAGAUAUCAAUUAACAAGUUAGGAUAAGGCCUUAGGAGGGGAGGUAGGUCUCAGCUAGGACAGCAGGUAGAAGCAGACAGAAACUCAUUGAAGCCUAAAAAGGGAGUAUUGGUCAAGGUCAGGGAAUAACAAUAAAAAAGAGUCUGACUGAGUGAACACUUUUUUUUAAAGAAAUCUUGUCCUCAUAAAACUGUCCUCAUAAAACUGGGCAAAACCCCACCUAUGAUAAGUACGCUGUGGAGAAAGGUAUAAAAAAAAAAAAGAGCUGUGUGUUUGCAUAAUUUAGACUUUCUGCAGACUGUCUCACUUUGUUGUUUCAAUAAAGUUUAUUUACUUUUUGAAAUCUA